UUGCAGGAAAAACAAAAAUAAAGAAGACCUUUGGUUUUCAAUUUUAAAAACAAAAAAGAAAGAACCACGAGGAGAGCCAAAUGAAUUAACACUGCCACUAACACAGCCGAAUCGAUUAAAACUUCAAAAUUAUACUGAAGGUGCAUUCGUAUCUUACAGGUUAAUGAUCUGUGCUAGAUCAAGACAUAACUUAUUCCAAACCUAUACACAGAAGCUUUAUCGGCAUGAUUCCAUACUGCACUCCAUGUAUCUCCUCAAAAGACUAACUUGCAAUAAGAAACAUAGUGCUGACCUGCCACUCUUAUGAAAACAUGUACUAAAGAUGAACUAGAAGUACGCAACAAAUGAAUGUGAGAAAUCCUGUAAAUGGCAAAGUAAUUGAUAAAAGGUCUUCUAUCAUUUCUCUCAAGAUACGCUUCCAACAUUUAUGUUUUGCAGACUUUAGGUGUAAACGCUAAAAGUGUGUUCCUUCCUGAGUGUUUCAUAGUGGCUUAUCAGGAAAAAGAAAUGGUUCGGCCGUUUCUAUGGAAGCAAAAGGAAAUGUCAUUCCUAAUUGAAUUACGGUUCUCAUUGCACAACUUUAGAGGGAUCAGUGAUUCAGUGGUAGCGACAACACAUUAACCCCCGAACUACCAUGGAAAAACAAAAAAGGACGUCAUGAAACACAAGUGGUUUCUUCGAAUAGUUUGAUACAUUCAGCCAGUAACAUGUUACUAUCUGCUAACCGUUUCAAAAAAAAAAAACAUAACAUCUGCUAAUGCAGCUAAGGGUAUUGUAGAAUUUUGCAGCCAUUUACAAUAAAUUCUAGUGGAUCAGGCCUCAAGUAGAGAACCCUAAUUUAUUCUCUCCUCUUUUGGCCACAAGUAUCUUUUCUUUUUCCUCUUCUCUUUUACUUUUCUUAUUUCAUUCCUAGAAUCUAGCCAAACAGUAAAAAUACAAGGAGCUCUCCAAGGCACAGAUGACUGCAACAUGGCCUUGGAAAAAGUUAUCCACAUAGAAAACAUAAAUUCGUCUCCGAUUAGUAGAAUCUAGAGGUUGAAUUACCUGCAUCCUCAUUGAUAACAGUAACAAUGAUGAGGCAUAAAAAUAGUCAAACAUGGAGGAAGUUGCAAGUCAGAUAGCACUCUGGUGGGAACUGUGGUAAGUGAUGGAAAGAAGUUGCCACGGCAAGUACAAGAAAAGAAAUUAACCGUGAGAAUGAAGAGGAAAUCAACAGAUUGAUACAUGAAACCCAAUUUGAGUAUACUUCUUAACACUGAGUAGUAGACCCAUGACACUGCCAAAAUCUGGUGUACCUAUCAUGCCUUUAGCCCUUUAACAUAGGUCAGAAUUGAAUGGUCAUUCUAGGGGGUUAUUUCCACUCUCCAGUUUGGCAAGUCAAAGGAAGUGCCAAUUCCACGGAUGUAUAUACCAUCUUAUCAUUCAAGCACCCAAAAAAGGGUGUAGGUGUAUGGGGUUGUUCUUUUUUUCUCAUGGGGGUAAUCUCUCUCAAAUUCAACCUCAUCAUCGUGCACUGGAAACACAAUGAUGAUUGUCAAUUCCUUUGCCAGUUCAAGUGGAUGCACCCAUGCCAAGCCGCCAUUGCCCCAAUCUUAUGUCCAAUUGCAUAAGCAGACAUCUUCGACCUCCAUAAGCACCAACACAACUGGCAACUACAAGCACCAUCACUAACCACCAAUGUUUAAUUUGAGCCAGCCAACUAUCUUUUUAGAUAAGCUCAGCCCACAGUCUCCUUAAAACCCAGGUAUUAAGGAGAGGGAAGCUAGGGCCUUAUAACCAGCAUAGAGGGGACUUGUCUAGGCGAUGAGCGACACAAUCCAACAUAUCUUGACAAGUACAAUUGAGUCAUUGACCAUCCUAACCAACACAGCCUACUCCACAUUGGAACCAUCGCUGACAACUACAAGCACCUUGACUCCUACCAAAACUGCAUUCACUCUUAACAAGGCAAACUCAAAGGAUUACGGUUUCAAAAAAUUUCCAAUGAACCUAUCUUAUGUCUUCCCCUUUAGAAUAUUUUCUGUGACUCUUUCUCUCAAUCGAGUGCUGAGUUUAGCUAAUGGUUUAAAAUUUUAAUUUCAAAAAAUGGAAAUGGAAAUGAUAACUGCUUUUGAAUUAAAUGGUUAUAUAUCCAACUGAUUCAACAAGAAAGAGGGGGAAAAAAGUACACAUGCAUGUUCAUUGAGCUAUUCUAGCACUGUUACUAGCCGAGCUAGCUAUUACAAUGAGAAUUACCACUGAUUACAACAUCCUUUUUACGUUCCAUUCCAAUUCUAGAAACCAUCCCAUAACAACGUAUGCAAUUCCGGCAUUACGAAACGUGGCCUAGGUAUAGGCUUUUAAAUCAGACUCGGAGAGUGUGCUCAGCCUUGUGCAUGUAAGAGAUUGAUAAGGGAAGAAAAGUCUCAACCGUACACAGGUCACUCCCAGGGAUACAUACAUCGCCACACAUUCAGGCAGAUUAAAUAGAAAACUUCAGCCUUCCUUUUUUACCAAAAAAAAACUUCAGCCUUCAGAACAGCCCAAUGUUGGCAAUUUUUCUUCCCCAACUGCAGAUAUUAAUCCACUUCUCACCAUAGAUAUAACUAAAAUUUGGCAGGCCAAGUGUAAUUUAUUCCAGUUUUUGGCUUCAAUCCCAUUGUGACCAAGAAGAACCAAAAAAAAAAAAAAAGGAAGUGAACCAACCACGCCCAACCGAUAGAGAUAGACCGAGAUAAUCAAAUACUAUGGAGCUUAUAAACAAUUCUAGUAUCCAAGUUCAUGCAAAUUGGCCCAUCACCUUGUGCAUAAAAGCUGAGAUGUUUUUGCUGUGUGACUGCAAAAUGACUUUCAUGUUCCAGGUGAAAUGUAUUCAAUUGAAGAAAAUUUACCUUCGAAGAGCUAUAAAAUAAAAGAACUUCUUUCCUUGCGUAGUUUUACUAAUCAAAAUAUCAUACACUGCAUCUAAUAGUCAACAAGCACACGUGAUUACAUCUUGUAUAACCUACAUGGCAUAUCUAACCGUUUCCAUUAACUAUAUGUUACAGACAAAACUUAUAGUAUAUUUUCCAAAUCGAAAUUAAGUGCUAGUGAGUUUAAGAGUUGCUCUUAUUUUUUGCGCUAAUACGUCAGCAAGUCACUCUUAAGUGUGUCAAAUAAUUUUUUACACCGCUACGUAAAUUCAAGUACCCAAUGACCAAUCCAUUUAAGUUCUACAUGUAGCUACCACUUAUCUAACCAUUAUCAGAAACAUAAACACAAAAACCUAGGGCUGUAAAUGAACCAAGGCUCGUUUUGUGCUUGUUCGAGCUCAGUUUGUUAUUGAGCUCGAGCUCGCGGAAAAAUCAAUAAACAAGCCUAAAAAUUAGCAUGCUCGGCUCGAGCUUAGGAAAAAAUUAAAAAACAAGCCAGAACAUAAGAAUGCUCGGCUCUGCUCCAUAAGGCUCAUUUCUUUUAACGGAAGGAGAUUACAUUCCUUCUUAUUAAUUCACAACUCACAAGUAAUAUGUUGAUGUGCAAUACUCAAAAACUAUAAAUUGUAUCACUAUUUUGAAUAGAGGCUUUUUCUUGUAGCUUAUAUAGACAUAAGACACAUGCACAUGCUCAAUCAAAAUUUCCCCUACUAUGCAAGCAUAAAUAUUUGUUUAUGGUUGGCUUGUUAAGGCUCAUGAAAAAAACUCGACUGCUCGAGUAAUGCUUCGACUGGCUCGGCCAGUUAAGUUUUCACGUCGCCAAAAAUUUAACAAACAAACUUGACCACAGCACAACUCGGCUCCUUUACAACAGCCCUACCAAAACCUAAUAAAA